UNUGGUCUGUAACUGACGCUGAGGCUCGAAAGCGUGGGGAGCAAACNGGAUUAGAUACCCUGGUAGUNCACGCCGUAAACGAUGAGUGCUAGGUGUUAGGCCCUUUCCGGGGCUUAGUGCCGCAGCUAACGCAUUAAGCACUCCGCCUGGGGAGUACGACCGCAAGGUUGAAACUCAAAGGAAUNGACGGGGGCCCGCACAAGCGGUGGAGCAUGUGGUUUAAUUCGAAGCAACGCGAAGAACCUUACCAGGUCUUGACAUCCCUCUGAUCGCUCUAGAGAUAGAGUUUUCCUUCGGGACAGAGGUGACAGGUGGUGCAUGGUUGUCGUCAGCUCGUGUCGUGAGAUGUUGGGUUNNNNNNNNNNACGAGCGCAACCCCUAUUGUUAGUUGCCAUCAUUCAGUUGGGCACUCUAGCGAGACUGCCGGUAAUAAACCGGAGGAAGGUGGGGAUGACGUCAAAUCAUCAUGCCCCUUAUGACCUGGGCUACACACGUGCUACAAUGGCUGGUACAACGAGUCGCAAGCCGGUGACGGCAAGCUAAUCUCUGAAAGCCAGUCUCAGUUCGGAUUGUAGGCUGCAACUCGCCUACAUGAAGUCGGAAUCGCUAGUAAUCGCGGAUCAGCACGCCGCGGUGAAUACGUUCCCGGGCCU
rnacentral:rRNA from 1 species